rnacentral:rRNA from 1 species
UACGUAGGGGGCAAGCGUUGUCCGGAAUCAUUGGGCGUAAAGCGCGUGUAGGCGGUUCAGUAAGUCUGCUGUGAAAGUCCAGGGCUCAACCCUGGGAUGCCGGUGGAUACUGCUGGGCUAGAGUACGGAAGAGGCGAGUGGAAUUCCCGGUGUGGCGGUGAAAUGCGCAGAUAUCGGGAGGAACACCUAUUGCGAAGGCAGCUCGCUGGGACGUUACUGACGCUGAGACGCGAAAGCGUGGGGAGCAAACAGG